rnacentral:misc_RNA from 1 species
UGUUGUACUUCCUACCUGUUGAACAAUAAUCAUGUGUUAUAUAAAAAUGUAAUUUGUUUGGAAAUGUGGCAAUAUUUAUUUUCUUUUUCGUUUGUAAAAUUUUCUUUCUCUGUUUUGAAUUGCAAUGGUGAAGUUCAUUUAUGAAAUCCAAAUUUGUUGUUCUUGAUUUUUCAUAGUUAUCAAAGUACGUUUGUCAAAUAAGGUGUCUAAAGACCAUAUCAAAGUGUUUUAGACCAACAAAAAAGAAAUUAUACUACCAAGUUAAAAAAAAAAAUCGUUUUUUAUUAAAUUCUGUUUUAGAAGCAUAUUCAUUUAAAGUAUUUUGGUAAAUAUAUCUGAAACAAACAUCACCAUCAAUCAAUCUUCGAAUUGUAUACCAGUAACUGUAAUAUUAUUUAUCAUUUAUUUUGCCAAUGACAGUUGCCUAGCAACGGCACCAAUUGUGUAUCUUGUGUUAGCCAUUUUAUGUUUUCGUCGUUUUCAGUUGGAGAGUGAACAGUAUUAUACUGAGUCUCGUGGAGAGAGUGUAAUCAUUUGUCAAGCUUAGAAACAAAAGUGCAAUUUUGAUACUGAACAAUAAAUGCAUCUGCAAUACC